AUACUCUGGUUUCUCUUCAGUUUAAAGAAAUCUUUUGCCUUUUAAUAAAGAUUUUUAUGGAGAGGAACAACCAUGAGUUUCAUGUAAUUUUUUGGAUUCCUGGCAGCUGCUGGGCU